UGCUGUGGGCAUUCUGUGGCCGUGUCUGUGGGGUUCUGUCCUGUCCCAUUGUCCCUGCUCGUGUCUGUGUCAGUGUCCCUGAGUUCCUGUCCUGUCCCACUGUCCAUGUCUGUGUCGGUGUCCCUGGGCUCCUGUCCCUGCUGGUGUCUGUGUCAGUGUCCCUGGGCUCCUGUCCUGUCCCACUGUCCCUGCUGGUGUCUGUGUCUGUUACCGCUGAAGAUGAAUAGAUCACACGGACACAGAUCGAGGUGUGGUGAAGAAAGAGCACAGUUUAUUUUUCCCCCCAGGAUUUAUAAGUUUCUGACCACGGCCAGGGAUUAGAUUGGUCAGAAAUUGGCCAGGGAUUGGAUGGUCAGGAUAACACUUUCCCCCUGCACUGGCCAUGAGAGAUGCCCAUCACAAAACGUGGAACAGAAAGAAUGUACACAUAUCUAUGUUUACAGUCACUGUCCUGGGAAAGUCCUUAGAAAACCAUGGCAGCAAGCUCAGAAGCUGAGUUUUCAGGGCGACACAUGUCCAUGUCCAUGGGCUCCUGUCCCUGCUGGUGUCCGUGUCAGUGUCCCUGGGUUCCUGUCCUGUCCCACUGUCCAUGUCUGUGUCAGUGUCCCUGGGCUCCUGUCCCUGCUGGUGUCUGUGUCAGUGUCCCUGGGCUCCUGUCCUGUCCCACUGUCCCUGCUGGUGUCUGUGUCGGUGUCCGUGUCCGUGUCUAUGUCCGUGUCUGUGUCCAUAUCCGUGUCCCUGGGCUCCCGUCCUGUCCCACUGUCCACGUCUGUGUCAGUGUCCCUGGGCUCCUGUCCUGUCCCAUUGUCCCUGCUGGUGUCCGUGUCCGUGUCUGUGUCCAUAUCCGUGUCCCUGGGCUCCUGUCCCUGCUCGUGUCCAUGUCCGUGUCAGUGUCCCUGGGCUCCUGUCCUGUCCCACUGUCCCUGCUGGUGUCCGUGUCCGUGUCCCUGGGCUCCUGUCCUGUCCCAUUGUCCAUGUCUGUGUCAGUGUCCGUGUCCGUGUCUGUGUCCAUAUCCGUGUCCCUGGGCUCCUGUCCUGUCCCAUUGUCCCUGCUGGUGUCCGUGUCAGUGUCCCUGGGCUCCUGUCCCACUGUCCAUGUCUGUGUCAGUGUCCAUGGGCUCCUGUCCCUGCUCGUGUCCAUGUCCGUGUCAGUGUCCCUGGGCUCCUGUCCCUGCUGGUGUCCGUGUCCAUGGUCUCCUGUCCCUGUCCGUGUGUCCUAACUGACUGUGCUCUCUGUCUGUCCCACCUCAGCCUGACGCGGAGGACGAAGCCGUGAGGACGAUCUCUCUGGGAGCAGGGGACAGGCAGGUGAUCCAGACCCCCAUCAAUGACUCUCUGCCCGUCAGCAGCUGCAGCGUGGCCCUGCUCUUCCGCCAGCUCGGUGAGACGUGUCCCCACGCUGUCCCCACGCUGUCCCCAUU
rnacentral:lncRNA from 1 species